GCGGCGCUGCACCAAUCAAUAAGCGUGCGCGCCAGGCCCAGAUGGCGCCGGAGUCGACAGUUUCCCCUCUGCCGUUGUGGGGGUCGGACCCUCCCGGACUCCCCUCGACGACACCCGGCACGUUAAUGUAUGAUAUUUAAAAUACUUUUUAAGGAUUUAAGGACUUCGACGAAACAAAACGAGUAACUUACCAUUAAGAUAUUUGUAAAUCAGUAUUACUUUGUUAGCUCCGUGUAUGAUAGCAUUUUAUAGGAUUAAGUAAGUGAAUCUGUACCAAAGUGGACUUAAACAAAACUUAUACAAGUAUACAGUGUUCUGAAAAACGAAAACAAAAACAACAAAAGACAAGAGCAAGAAAACAAAAAACCAAAACAAAAAGAAAAAUAACCCUACGAAGAAAUAAGAAAGGACUGUGAACUUAUUUUCUCCCGACUGCAAACCGUAUAUAAACAAGAUCCAAGAGAAGGAUUUUGCGUGACCCGGAAGGGAAUUGCACAGCUGAUUCGCCUGCGCUGAACGGACUACGGCGGCGGCGACCUGAGGUACUCGUCCCCCCACACGUCGCGCCCGAUCUCGCGCGCCUCCUCCCAAACCUCGCUCUCUUCCUCCACCGCUGCAUCCAUUACACACCUGCCGCGCCGUUCCCAGUCCACCCACAC